rnacentral:tRNA from 1 species
GCUUCUAAAGGAUAACAGCUCAUCCAUUGGUCUUAGGAAUCAAAGAAUCUUGGUGCAAAUCCAAGUAGUAGCU